AAGUCGUAACAAGGUUUCCGUAGGUGAACCUGCGGAAGGAUCAUUAACACGUUAUCCAACGUUAACCAAAGUCAAUUGUUUUCACCCUCCCUUUACGGAGAAUGAGCGGGGCCAACACAGGAAUUGAAAGGGAUGAUUCGUCGUCAAGCCUGUGAACGCUAUUUUUGGUUUAUUCCAAUAACGCUGUAUCUUUUGUGAAGAUUCAUCUUACAACCUUGUUCUCCUUUCAUUGAGCGCUGUUGUAGGAACUAUAUUCACUUAUUUCACCUUUUUUGCUAGUUGACUUUUAUAUGUUGUUCUUUGCGCUUUUGCGUAAGGUUCACACGUUUAAUUAUUUGAACGUUAAAAUUACAACUCUUAGCAAUGGAUAUCUUGGUUCUC
rnacentral:misc_RNA from 1 species